AUGGAAAAAGUUCCAGGAUUAUAUCAGUAGGACCUGCUGGAUGGCCUCAAUACAAUUUGCAGCAGCAUAGCAACGAAGCAGGUGGAUCACAGAGUGAAAAGCAAUUAGGAUUCUCAGGAUCAACGCUCUAAUAUCUUUAAGAGGCCAAAAUUGUAACAAGAAACAUACCAUUAUCGGGGGAGGGAGGAGAUCGAAGAACUAAGGGAAAAGAAUUAUCAGAGACACGAAAUGGGAAGUAAGAGAGAAUAUGGGAGGGAUAAAACAUACAUGGUAUGCCACCUCUAGGGACAAACGUUGAUUGAUAUUAAUUGCAUCAUGCAUAUAGAUUGCAACAAGCUUAAAAUUUGUCACAGAUAGUGCUUUCUUGUGCUCUAUAUAUAACACAGAUAGCACUUCCAUUAACAGAGUCCAUUCAACAAGAAAAAGAAAUAUAGCACUUCCAUUAACAGAGUCCAUUCAACAAGAAAAAGAAAUCUAGGAGGUCUCACCAGAGCAGCAGAGAAGAAAUAAUAUGGUUUUUUGUCUCAUUACUUCCAUCUUCUUCAUGAAACAAGCCAAAAUUUGGCGCUUGAUUUUUCCUCUAAUUGGUGGGAGCAACUUCCGGCUGCUGCCUUCUUUUUGGACUAAUCCUUGCUUAGUGGAUCCUAAAGCCAUUGACGAAGCCCCAAGCUUCCUGUUCUCCUUUCUCAGUUUACCAAAUGCAAACAAAAUUGAAGUAUAGAGGGAAUUAGGGAAAAUCCAAAAAGUUCUGUUAAAGUUGGUUUGGUUAGUACUGUCUUCG
rnacentral:lncRNA from 1 species